rnacentral:snRNA from 1 species
AAAAAGGGUCGGUUGGCUAAAUAUGCCACUCUUGCCUGCGUGGUGAGUGCUGUAUGGCUAUCAAGACAUAUGGCCGGCAUAAUUUGUGGAACCUUACAGGGUUGGCUCCCCGGCGGCCGACCCUCCA